GAAAGAGACUAAAUCCAUAUGGUCCACAUGGAAAGGAGGGGAAAGAGGCUCUUUCAUGAAUAUUUUUUAGCUUGGGACCUUACCAAUAUCGUAUUUCAAAUGACGAUAUUCCCUGGAAUUUUAAAGAAUAGUAUAAUUAGAAUCAUAGAAAUUUGGAGCUGGAAUGAGAUUCAGGGAUCAUCCAAAAUGUGAAAUGCUCAGCCAGACUGUCUGCAACGUUGUGGAUGUGACGUCUGAGGUCCACAGAGUAAAUCCUGGCCCACCCCAGGAGCAGAGCCGGCCCGGCUCACUGCCUCCUGGCCAGCAGGUUACCUCCACGUACACUGAGAUACUUUAUUUGUUCAGUUGUGAGAAUAAUGUUCAAUGAAGCAGCCUCAUCUCUCGCUCUUUCUAAAACAAUCCGUGUGAUCUUUUUACCUCAUACCUAAAGUACAAACAUCACAGACUUGGCGUGUUGAGAAGACAGAAUUUCACGCCAGGUGCAGCUCACUGUGUAGCACAGCUUGCUUCUGUGAGGAUGCGCAUAGGAUACCCCAAACCUGCCCCUGCUACUGGUUUCCCCAAGCAUCUGUCGAGAGUGUCGCAUUUGCCAGGCGCUGUGCUAGAGCCGAGGGGUUCCAAGACGAGAAGCAAGCGUUCUCCUGACCUGGCGGGGCUCACAGUUUGCCAUGUGACAACUGCGUGGGAUAAAGGCCUGACAGAUGACAAUCACGGUCUCAGCCACACUAUGUGCCACGUGGUCCAGACGGAACAGAAGCCGAGACGCAGAGGUGGCGCAGGCACGGCGCUGGACCCAGGAGGAUGGCAGAGCAAGUGUUGGCUGUUGCAUUUUGCUGCAGAGUGGGAGGAAGAUGGGGCGAUGGAACCGGGCGCUGCCUGGAGGCGUUCUCACACCCUCAGAGUGGGAGGGCAUCUCUCUGGCUUCUUUCCCGAUGUCCAAGGACUGCACAAGGCAGAAGAGAGGCUCCGAAGCUGGAAGACAGAAUUUCUCAUCAGGCCUAGCAGUGCCUUUGGGGGCAAAUCGGGCCCACAGGCCUGUUUUGCUUGGCCCCCACAGCAUCAAAAAGUAAGCCAACAUUUCUUAUGAGCCAGUGGAGCUCACAUCACGAGCUGCAGCACCAGCUUGCCUGGAAGGGAGGCAGAUCUGGCCGUGCUGGACGCUCUUGCUACUCUGCUCCCUGAGCUGGCCUCUCUCCGUCUCCCCUCUCGCUAGCUGCCCCGCAUUGUGGAUGAGCCACUGGAUCCAUACUCACUCCUUGCCUGUCCCCACAGGGUUCGAGUCUGCAGACCUGUGCCCAGAUGACACGCAUUUAUCCCGCGGAUCCCGCUGAGGUCUUUUAUCCACAAGGGAAUACAUACGUGUGGGGAUCACACAUACAUGAUUCCCUGUGUUAAGGUUUUAUUCUCCUUUCGAAUUCGUCACUGAUCAUGGUGGGAGGCGACAGGAGUGGCGGCGAGCGAGCAGAGAGAGACGAGCUGCUGGCAGCCCUGCCCAUCAUCUGAAGGCGCUGAACAGUGUCGCCCUUCGGCUCUGCCUCCAGGUGAUCAGAAACAAGAUAAACAAACCAAAUGACAGAUAAGAGUGAAUCAAGCUACAGAGUAAAGUGUUUUAAAGGUAUAAAGUUCAUGAAAAGGUUAAAUAUACAAGGAAAUAAGUUGUUUUAAAAAGGAAUAUAUUGGGCUGGCCUGGUGGCACAGUGGUUGGGUUCACGUGCUCCACUUUGGUGGCCCGUGGUUCACAGGUUUGGAUUCUGAGUGCAGACCUAGCACCACUCAUCGAGCCAUGCUGUGGUGGUGUCUCACAUAUAUAAUGGAGGAAAAUGGGCACAGAUGUUAGCUCUGGGCCGAUCUUGCUCACACACAAAAAAAGAAAAGAUAUUAACAUAAAUUUCAAAAAUAAAAAAUAAGA
rnacentral:lncRNA from 1 species